AGCGAAUAGAUACCCAGGUAGUCCACGCCGUAAACGAUGGAUACUAGCUGUUCGGAGCAAAUCUGAGUGGCUAAAGCGAAAGUGAUAAGUAUCCCACCUGGGGAGUACGCACGCAAGUGUGAAACUCAAAGGAAUUGACGGGGGCCCGCACAAGCGGUGGAGCAUGUGGUUUAAUUCGAUGAUACGCGAGGAACCUUACCAGGGCUUAAAUGUAGAUUGACAGGACUGGAAACAGUUUUUCUUCGGACAAUUUACAAGGUGCUGCAUGGUUGUCGUCAGCUCGUGCCGUGAGGUGUCAGGUUAAGUCCUAUAACGAGCGCAACCCCUGUCGUUAGUUGCCAGCGAGUCAUGUCGGGAACUCUAACGAGACUGCCAGUGUAAACUGUGAGGAAGGUGGGGAUGACGUCAAAUCAUCACGGCCCUUACGUCCUGGGCCACACACGUGCUACAAUGGUAGGUACAGAGAGCAGCCACUGCGCGAGCAGGAGCGAAUCUACAAAACCUAUCUCAGUUCGGAUCGGA
rnacentral:rRNA from 1 species